CCUACGGGAGGCAGCAGUGGGGAAUAUUGCACAAUGGGGGAAACCCUGAUGCAGCGACGCCGCGUGGGUGACGAAGUAUUUCGGUAUGUAAAGCCCUAUCAGCAGGGAAGAAGAUGACAGUACCUGACCAAGAAGCCCCGGCUAACUACGUGCCAGCAGCCGCGGUAAUACGUAGGGGGCAAGCGUUAUCCGGAUUUACUGGGUGUAAAGGGAGCGUAGGUGGCAUGGCAAGCCAGAAGUGAAAACCCGGGGCUUAACCCCGCGGAUUGCUUUUGGAACUGUCAGGCUGGAGUGCAGGAGGGGCAGGCGGAAUUCCUGGUGUAGCGGUGAAAUGCGUAGAUAUCAGGAGGAACACCGGUGGCGAAGGCGGCCUGCUGGACUGUAACUGACACUGAGGCUCGAAAGCGUGGGGAGCAAACAGGAUUAGAUACCCUAGUAGU
rnacentral:rRNA from 1 species